CCUACGGGUGGCAGCAGUGGGGAAUAUUGGGCAAUGGGCGCAAGCCUGACCCAGCAACGCCGCGUGAAGGAAGAAGGCUUUCGGGUUGUAAACUUCUUUUCUCAGGGACGAAGCAAGUGACGGUACCUGACGAAUCAGCCACGGCUAACUACGUGCCAGCCGCCGCGUUAAUACGUAGGUGGCAAGCGUUAUCCGGAUUUACUGGGUGUAAAGGGCGUGUAGGCGGGACUGCAAGUCAGAUGUGAAAACCACGGGCUCAACCUGUGGCCUGCAUUUGAAACUGUAGUUCUUGAGUACUGGAGAGGCAGGCGGAAUGCCUAGUGUAGCGGUGAAAUGCGUAGAGAUUAGGAGGAAAACCAGUGGCGAAGGCGGUCUGCUGGACAGCAACUGACGCUGAGGCACGAAAGCGUGGGUAUCGAACAGGAUUAGAUACCCGUGUAGUC
rnacentral:rRNA from 1 species